ACGGCCGUUUGGCGCUAGGAACGCCAGUCUGAAGUGCCAGGUGCAGGUUGUCUGCAGCGGCCGCCGGCGAGCGAGUGAGACGGAACCAAGCGCCAAGGAAAAGGAAAAAGAAGGGUAAGAAGACCUGCGCCAAGGCCUGGGGAUGGAACAGGGAGCCUCCAGGACCUACAGGGUUCUGAAAUUAUUACUGCAAAUGGGAUUUGGAGGCAAAGAAACCUGAAAUUAGAGUGACCAACCAUUGCGCUCUGCCUCGGACUGCGAGCUUGUCCAAGAUGCAGGAUUUUCAGUGCAAAACUGGGCUGGUUGGUCAUGCUAUCUGGAAUCAAAUCCUAACUCUACUGUUUACCAUGUGUGUGACCCUGAACGUGUUAUUUUUCUCUCUCUGAGCCUCACUUUUCUGACAUCCCAGUGAGGAUAACAAUGUUUACCCCCACAGUAUUAUUAUAAGGAUUAAGUAAGAUAAUAUUUUCCGUAAGGAUUAAGGGAAGUACCAUAUAAUCACCCCUCCAGUGACUUCCAUCCAAAUAAAACCUAAA